GGUCCCAUGAUCUAGUGGCCAUGAUGUCCGCCUGUCUAGCGGAACGCGAGAGUUCGAUUCUCUCUGGGACCGCCA
rnacentral:tRNA from 1 species